CCCUGAUGUUAGCGGCGGACGGGUGAGUAACACGUGGGUAACCUGCCUGUAAGACUGGGAUAACUCCGGGAAACCGGGGCUAAUACCGGAUGCUUGUUUGAACCGCAUGGUUCAAACAUAAAAGGUGGCUUCGGCUACCACUUACAGAUGGACCCGCGGCGCAUUAGCUGGUUGGUGAGGUAACGGCUCACCAAGGCAACGAUGCGUAGCCGACCUGAGAGGGUGAUCGGCCACACUGGGACUGAGACACGGCCCAGACUCCUACGGGAGGCAGCAGUAGGGAAUCUUCCGCAAUGGACGAAAGUCUGACGGAGCAACGCCGCGUGAGUGAUGAAGGUUUUCGGAUCGUAAAGCUCUGUUGUUAGGGAAGAACAAGUACCGUUCGAAUAGGGCGGUACCUUGACGGUACCUAACCAGAAAGCCACGGCUAACUACGUGCCAGCAGCCGCGGUAAUACGUAGGUGGCAAGCGUUGUCCGGAAUUAUUGGGCGUAAAGGGCUCGCAGGCGGUUUCUUAAGUCUGAUGUGAAAGCCCCCGGCUCAACCGGGGAGGGUCAUUGGAAACUGGGGAACUUGAGUGCAGAAGAGGAGAGUGGAAUUCCACGUGUAGACGGUGAAAUGCGUAGAGAUGUGGAGGAACACCAGUGGCGAAGGCGACUCUCUGGUCUGUAACUGACGCUGAGGAGCGAAAGCGUGGGGAGCGAACAGGAUUAGAUACCCUGGUAGUCCACGCCGUAAACGAUGAGUGCUAAGUGUUAGGGGGUUUCCGCCCCUUAGUGCUGCAGCUAACGCAUUAAGCACUCCGCCUGGGGAGUACGGUCGCAAGACUGAAACUCAAAGGAAU
rnacentral:rRNA from 1 species